rnacentral:rRNA from 1 species
UACGAAGGGGGCUAGCGUUGUUCGGAAUCACUGGGCGUAAAGGGCGCGUAGGCGGCCGAUCAAGUCGGGGGUGAAAGCCUGUGGCUCAACCACAGAAUUGCCUUCGAUACUGUUUGGCUUGAGACCGGAAGAGGUAAGUGGAACUGCGAGUGUAGAGGUGAAAUUCGUAGAUAUUGGGAAGAACACCGAUGGCGAAGGCAGCCAUCUGGACCGACACUGACGCUGAGGCGCGAAAGCGUGGGGAGCAAACAGG